GCAGAUUCUCUACUGAACUGAACAAAGGAGUUCCCUCUGUACAGGUCAGCCCUCUGUGUUUUAGCUCAGCACUGAUUGCGGCAACUAAGGUGCUGGCAGUCAGAACUAUAGCUAGUUAAGGGGAUAAUUGGUGGUAGGAUUGUGAGGACAGAGGACCAGAGAGCUUUGUGAUCAUUUGUGUAAAGCUUGUUCAACCAGCAGCUAAACGUUUUGGUGUCCUUGCUCUAAGGAACAUUUUAUAUUACGGUGACCUUACAUUUAUGGCUUUUCCAGGUCAUUUGAGCCUUGUUUAGACCUGUGCCUUAAAAAUAAACAAACGUCAGAAAGAAAAUCAAUACCAUAGAUGGAAGAGUUCAUGCAUUUCAGAGUCUCAGUGAUAAACUCUGUGGUAUUCAAGAGAGGAGCUUCUGCCAACAUAGAGUGAGUGUUGUUUCAAGAAACAGUUUUGACCUGGGUGAUAGAACUAAAAUGAGGAAUUCUUUUCUCCACAAAAGACUGAGAACACAUGAGGUAACUGGCAAUUACUGGGAUUCAUUCAAAAUACAUUAUUUCAUACAUAAUAUAAUCAUGUGAAAUAUUGAAGAUAGAAUAGAAAAUGCUGUGAAGUGCAGGUGCUCUGUUUGUUUGUAGGUUGAGAUGUGUGUGUACAGAUAAAUAAGGUUUAGUUCAGGAACAGACAUUUUUAUAUACUGGAGUGUUUAGAAUUCAGACAAAGAAAUGUUCCAGUACUGGGUCCACGCGAGCAGAUAAGAGCCAGCAGUGCAGAGACAAGUUUGCUCUUUGCAGUAUGGAGCUAUACAGAAAUAACAAGGAGCUAGGUCUGGAUCAAGGCAGUAUAAAGCAGAGCUAGCCUGAGCUCAUUAGCCUGGGCGUAAUGCCAUGCUAAUAUAUCUACACAACUCCCCGAACCCGAGCUAAUGGCUCAGCAUGGUGCUAUACAGGGUACUCGCACCAGCUGGUGCAGGGAUUUCUGCAUUGUACAGUAUAAAUGUGCCAUAAGGUUUUCACACCAGCUCUGUAAAGAAAGCAAAAUGACUUAGGGGCAAGACAAGAUUCAAGACUUUGAAAACCAGAGAUGUUUAAAUCUGGGUUCCCAAAUCCCUGUUCAUACUUAUGAGG
rnacentral:lncRNA from 1 species